UCCCCUAGUAACGGCGAGUGAAGCGGGAAGAGCUCAAAUUUAAAAUCUGGCAGUGUAUUCUGUCCGAGUUGUAGUCUAGAGAAGCAUCAUCCGUGCUGGACCAUGUACAAGUCUCUUGGAACAGAGCGUCAUAGAGGGUGAGAAUCCCGUCCUUGACAUGGACUCCCAGUACUUUGUGUUGUGCUCUCAACGAGUCGAGUUGUUUGGGAAUGCAGCUCAAAAUGGGUGGUAAAUUCCAUCUAAAGCUAAAUAUUGGCGAGAGACCGAUAGCGAACAAGUACCGUGAGGGAAAGAUGAAAAGCACUUUGGAGAGAGAGUUAAACAGUACGUGAAAUUGUUGAAAUGGAAACGCUUGAAGUCAGUCGCGUUCUCUGGGAUUCAGCCUUGCUUUUGCUUGGUGCAUUUCCUAGUCUACGGGCCAGCAUGAAUUUUGACCAAUGGAAAAAGAUUUGGGGAAUGUGGCACCUUCGGGUGUGUUAUAGCCCCUUGUCAGAUACAUUGGUUGGGAUUGAGGUCUUAGUGCACGCUUCGGUUGUGCUUUGAUGCUGGCGUAAUGGCUUUAAACGACCCGUCUUGAAACACGGACCAAGGAGUCUAACAUGUCUGCGAGUGUUUGGGUGCAAAACCCGAGCGCGAAAUGAAAGUGAUAAGUUGGGAACCUCAUUAGAGGGGCACCGACGCCCGGACCAGACCUUCUGUGACGGAUCCGAGGUAGAGCAUAUAUGUUGGGACCCGAAAGAUGGUGAACUAUGCCUGCAUAGGGUGAAGCCAGAGGAAACUCUGGUGGAGGCUCGUAGCGAUUCUGACGUGCAAAUCGAUCGUCAAAUGUGGGUAUAGGGGCGAAAGACUAAUCGAACCAUUAGUGUGCUACUUGGUGGUUAAGAAGCAAUCUCAAAGGGUUAGCCUAGUGAGCGUUGAGGCUUGCGACACUGUCAAAUUGCGGGGACGUCCUAAAGCUUUUGCGACCAAGCAUUGGUGGAAACAUCA
rnacentral:rRNA from 1 species